AAAUUGGAUGUAUAAAAAGGCAGCUAUUGGAGGCGAAUGGAAAAGUAACUCGUGCAAUCCCACAAAAGCAACAACCAAAACGUCUGGUGUGAGGUAAAAAAAUUGUCAACUUUUAACAAAAAUGGAUACCUAUAAAAUUAUACUGCUUCUUGGAGCAUAAAUUGGUGCAUUCUAAUUUACUCGAGAUGAAUUUUUAUACUUUCUCAAAUCUACGGUUCUCAAGGCGUCAAAUACGCUAAGGCUAUAGUGGAAAUGGAGGGGAAUGUGCAGUACUUCAGUUCCAUCUGGGGUUCGUCGGAUCCGCAAUAGCUUGUGAUCUUUGAAUUCAGUCAACUGGGCACGCAGAGUCAAAUCCGAAUUGACCAACAUCCGAUCUCUGCAUUCGCUGUAGAGUUCAUGGAACGGAAAUCCUGUGACAAACAACACAUUUUUUAAAAUUCAUACUACCAAAAGAAGUUGGAAAAUAAAACAAUACCGUGAUAAUUAGUUUCAUUAUUGUUUUCAAGUUGCCGCUGCGCAAUCAGAAUGAAAAUCGCCUUGGCGUUGAACGUCAACGACGCAAAUACAUGCACGAGGGAGGCUAA